GUGGGGAAUAUUGGGCAAUGGGCGAAAGCCUGACCCAGCAACGCCGCGUGAAGGAAGAAGGUUUUCGGAUCGUAAACUUCUAUCCUUGGUGAAGAUAAUGACGGUAGCCAAGAAGGAAGCCCCGGCUAACUACGUGCCAGCAGCCGCGGUAAUACGUAGGGGGCAAGCGUUGUCCGGAAUGAUUGGGCGUAAAGGGCGCGUAGGCGGCCCGGUAAGUCUGAAGUGAAAGUCCUGCUUUUAAGGUGGGAAUUGCUUUGGAUACUGUCGGGCUUGAGUGCAGGAGAGGUAAGCGGAAUUCCCGGUGUAGCGGUGAAAUGCGUAGAUAUUAGGAGGAACACCAGUGGCGAAGGCGGCUUACUGGACUGUAACUGACGUUGAGGCUCGAAAGCGUGGGGAGCAAACAGGAUUAGAUACCCGUGUAGUCC
rnacentral:rRNA from 1 species